ACCGUGGGUUCACAGUCAGAGGUCACCGCGGCCCCAGAGUGCAGACGAGGAGGCCGCAGCUGCUCCGGCUGCUUAGACCGUGGUUCUGGAGCUGGAGGGGGAGAGGAGGAGACAGUGAUUUGAGAAGGGGAUUGUGGCUGGGACAGCGUUAGGGGGUCCUCAAAGGUCUGCAGGGGGGCCCCCCUGUGUUUCAUGCCACAGCCCUCCAGAAGAGUGGAUGACGCUGUCGAUACAGGAGGUAUCUGCAAAGGAGAAGCGAUAUUCAUUCUUGCAGUGUGUGGAUGAGCCGGUGUGGGUUCCACCGGUUCCUGUGGUUUGGCAAGCGGGGAACUCAGAGGCCGGCUGUCCCUGUCUGGAUCUAGAGUUGGUGAUUUAAUGUUGUCAGGUGUGUCUUGAGAGGCUGGGGAAGGGAUGGCUGGUGCAUUGGGGAUAGUUUGGCCUGUGCCGCCUGAUCUGGAGUGGGGAGAGGUGGAAAAUCCUGUAGAGAGGGUUCCACACUCUCCGGGCCCACCUGUGGUUGCCCUUGGAGCACCAUGGUUCUCAGGGUGUCUAUGGAGCUGUCGGUAAGUCGAGGUCCAUAUCUCAGUUUAGCCCAUUUUAAGGCUUUACUUAAGGCUGCUGGUUGAAAGGUUAUCACCUGUGCUAAAAGAGAUGCUAAUAAGGCAUCAUAAUGGUCAGCCAGGAUUAUUAAAUUAUUGUUCAGCCAUUGAUCUGUGUUUAUUUUAACCCUUUCCAGAGU